AGAGUUUGAUCAUGGCUCAGAAUCAACGCUGGCGGCGUACCUAACACAUGCAAGUCGAACGCGAAAGGGGAGCAAUCCCUGAGUAGAGUGGCGAACGGGUGAGUAACACGUGGGUGACCUGCCUUCGAGUGGGGGAUAACGUCCCGAAAGGGACGCUAAUACCGCAUGACAUCCCGUCUUUGAAGAGACGGUGAUUAAAGCUGGGGAUCGCAAGACCUGGCGCUUGAAGAGGGGCUCGCGUCCGAUUAGCUAGUUGGUGGGGUAAUGGCCUACCAAGGCGACGAUCGGUAGCCGGCCUGAGAGGGCGGACGGCCACACUGGGACUGAGACACGGCCCAGACUCCUACGGGAGGCAGCAGUGGGGAAUUGUUCGCAAUGGGCGCAAGCCUGACGACGCAACGCCGCGUGGAGGAUGAAGAUUUUCGGAUCGUAAACUCCUUUCGAUCGGGACGAAUCGGUCGCGACCUAAUACGUCGUGGCACUGACGGUACCGAGAGUAGAAGCCCGGCUAACUCCGUGCCAGCAGCCGCGGUA
rnacentral:rRNA from 1 species